rnacentral:rRNA from 1 species
AUUGAACGCUGGCGGCAGGCCUAACACAUGCAAGUCGAACGAGUGGCGGACGGGUGAGUAAUGUAUGGGAAAAUGCCCGAUAGAGGGGGAUAACUACUGGAAACGGUAGCUAAUACCGCAUACCAUCGGAUGUACCCAGAUGGGAUUAGCUAGUAGGUGGGGUAAAGGCUCACCUAGGCGACGAUCCCUAGCUGGGCGUAGAGGAUGACCAGCCACACUGGGACUGAGACACGGCCCAGACUCCUACGGGAGGCAGCAGUGGGGAAUAUUGCACAAUGGGCGCAAGCCUGAUGCAGCCAUGCCGCGUGUAUGAAGAAGGCCUUAGGGUUGUAAAGUACUUUCAGCGGGGAGGCGUUACCCGCAGAAGAAGCACCGGCUAACUCCGUGCCAGCAGCCGCGGUAAUAC